rnacentral:rRNA from 1 species
GAUGAACGCUAGCGGCAGGCUUAACACAUGCAAGUCGAGGGGUAGAAGGAGCUUGCUCCUUUGAGACCGGCGCACGGGUGCGUAACGCGUAUGCAAUCUACCUUUUGCAGAGGGAUAGCCCAGAGAAAUUUGGAUUAAUACCUCAUAGUAUGUGAGGAUGGCAUCAUUUUCACAUUAAAGUCACAACGGCAAAAGAUGAGCAUGCGUCCCAUUAGCUAGUUGGUAAGGUAACGGCUUACCAAGGCUACGAUGGGUAGGGGUCCUGAGAGGGAGAUCCCCCACACUGGUACUGAGACACGGACCAGACUCCUACGGGAGGCAGCAGUGAGGAAUAUUGGACAAUGGGCGCAAGCCUGAUCCAGCCAUGCCGCGUGCAGGAUGACGGUCCUAUGGAUUGUAACUGCUUUGUACAGGAAG